rnacentral:rRNA from 1 species
GGGGGCGAUCAUAGCAGCACUAAUGCACCAGAUCCCAUCAGAACUCCGCAGCUAAGCGUGCUUGGGCGAGAGUAGUACUAGGAUGGGUUACCUUCCGGGAAGUCCUCGUGUUGCACCCC